UCCACGCGCGCUCGUUUCCUCGCCGCGACCUUCUUCUCCUCUGUGCCCUAACCGGCGCCGUCGACAGUUUUCCCCCUCUCCCUCGCGAUAUAACCCCUCGACAAGGAUUCUUCUUCUUCUCCUCUGCCCGACGCUGAACCAAAUUCUUCUUCUCCUACCCGAGCAGAAACCCUCCUCUGCCUCCCGAUUCUUUCCUCCUCCUCUGGUCAGUCGAGACACCGCCGGCCUUCACUUCUCUCUUCCCUUACUGUGCCAUGCCCUAGUUCAGGUUCACAGCUGCCGCCGCACCUCUGCAUCCAGCACUGUCGCCGGCCGCCAGUUCCGACCCAGCACUGUCGUCGACCUUGUGCCCUUUUAGGCUGUGCCCUAGCUAGUCACUGACCACCGCAGUGCCGUCAGCCUCUUCUAGUGCCCGAGCAUUUAGCCGACGCUGACGCACAGUACUUCUUCGCCACCAGAAGUCAACAGAGAGGAAGAAGUGUAUCAAGUUGAGACAUUAGGUUGUUGAAGUAAUUUGGUUGUGGAGUCUUCUUCCGGCAGCAACCAUCUGUGAUUGAGAAUCGAACAGAAGGGAAGAAUUACAAGAGGACUUUGACGCGAGACGAGUAUCUCAGAGUCGGAAUUGGAC